UACGUAGGGGGCAAGCGUUGUCCGGAAUCAUUGGGCGUAAAGAGCGUGUAGGCGGCUCGAUAAGUCUGCUGUGAAAGUCCAGGGCUCAACCCUGGAAGGCCGGUGGAAACUGUCGGGCUAGAGUCCGGAAGAGGCGAGUGGAAUUCCCGGUGUAGCGGUGAAAUGCGCAGAUAUCGGGAGGAACACCAAUGGCGAAGGCAGCUCGCUGGGACGGUACUGACGCUGAGACGCGAAAGCGUGGGGAGCAAACAGGGAUUAAGAAACCCCUGGUACG
rnacentral:rRNA from 1 species